UCUUUCUGUCUUCUCUGCACACUUAUAGCUAAUCAGCCAGAUUGCCAUCAACUGUAAAUUCAAAGAAGCUCCUCCUGGCUCGGCGCGGCGGCAGCAGCAUCGCAGCAUCUGAGAGGCAGCAGCUUCCCAGCUCCUGUUGCCGUAGCAACAAGGCCCCUUCCGUUCCGGAAAGGUGCUUGGUCCAGCAGUCUUUUGGGCUGGACGGAUGCUGCCGAUCAUCCUGCCCUUCUGGUCCAGUUGUAUGGAAGCUCCCAAUUCCUGUGGGGCUCGGCGUGGGGCCACAGCUGCGUGGGAGAGGGGAAUGCCGCUCGAGUGCUGCUGAGAAGAGAAAUGGCAGAGGUUCAACAGGUGCAGCCUCCUGUAACCACACUGGGGUGCUAAUGAAUGCGAACAGCUGUUGCAAUACUAAGACGAGUACAGGCCAGAGGACUCCACUUAUCUACUGGAAAAGAGAACGGUUUUCUGUGCUUUGAUCAUGCAAGAAGCAAAACAGCUUUCCAACCUGGCCACGCACCAGGUCAUCGCCUUUGAAGUUUCCAGAUAAAGGAUGAACAGGAAAGAUGGCUUCUUUUUGACAUUUUUUUUAUUCUUGCCUUCCCAGCACCUCUCCAAGACAAUCAUUCCUGGAACUGUGGUGAUGACAUAUUUAUUUAGUUCUUUAAAGCUUUCACAUCCCACCCUUCACCGUGUCUCAGGUUGGUAACGUGGUACGUGUCCUUUGAAAAGAUGCUUCCAUGGGUUUCCACGUUUGGUGGUUUUUGGUCAGCUCCCACAAAGAUGUAGCGCCCAUGGGAAUGCUGUAACUUGCAC